ACACAUGCGGCCUGAGUGUCCAUGUGGCUCAGAGGAUAAGGAGACGGACUGACACUCCUGAGGUCGUGGGUUCAAGCCUUACCUUACCCACAUCUAGUUGAAUUUUUAAGUCCUUUACCCAAAGUAAGAUGAUAAAAGCGGGCAUUCCACAUGCCCUAGUGUGGAUGCCUUAUAAACUCACAGUGAAAUUUAAAGUCUAGUGUCUAGAAAAAAAGGGUGAAAUAGGAAAAACCCGAAACUCCCCUGUGUGUCCAUGUAGCUCAGAGGUUAAGGAGACGGACUGGGACUCCUGAGGUUGUGGGUUCAAGCCUUGCCUUAUACACUCGCAGUGAAAUUUAAAGUCUAGUGUCUAGAAAGGAGAGUGAAAUAGGACAAACCCCGAAAUCCCCUGUGUGUCUACAUAGCUCAGAGGAUAGAGAGACUGACUGGGACUCCUGAGGUUGUGGGUUCAAGCCUUGCCUUAUACACUCGCAGUGAAAUUUAAAGUCUAGUGUCUAAAAUGGAGACUGAAAUAGGACAAACCCGGAAUUGCCCUGUGUGUCCACAUAGCUCAGAGGAUAAGGAGACGGACUGUGACUCUUGAGGUUGUGGGUUCAAGCCUCACCUUACCCACAUCUAGUUGAAUUUUUAAGUCCUUUAGCCAAAGUAAGAUGAUAAAAGCGGGCAUUCCGCAUGCCCUAGUGUGGAUCCUAUCUAAUGGCACUGCAUGGAAGUCUAUUGGCACCCAAUGGGGCCUGGUUUGAUACCAACUCGUGGCUGGAGAGUAUUAGUAACGAUCAGAAUUAGCCAUCAUUAGAAGUGAACCAUCACUUCUUCAGGAGUCUAUACCGAUUACGGUAUAGAAGGAAAUUUUCAUCAUUUCAUUACUUUUAACUACCCCGUCACUAGCUGGAAUCGAACCGGGGUCCACACAUUGAGAGUCAAUUGACUAACACACAUGCUACAAGAUACGAUCCACACUUGGGUAGGAGUCGCGCGUCCUUUUAUUUUGGUACUUUGGCUCCUGGACUUUAAACCUCAACCUAUGUUUGAUCCUGAUCCUGAUCCAGGUCUAGGU